AUUGAACGCUGGCGGCAGGCCUAACACAUGCAAGUCGAACGAGUGGCGGACGGGUGAGUAAUGUAUGGGAACCUGCCUGAUGGAGGGGGAUAAAUACUGGAAACGGUAGCUAAUACCGCAUACCAUCAGAUGUGCCCAGAUGGGAUUAGCUAGUUGGUGGGGUAACGGCUAACCAAGGCGACGAUCCCUAGCUGGUCUGAGAGGAAGACCAGCCACACUGGAACGGAGACACGGACCAGACUCCUACGGGAGGCAGCAGUGGGGAAUAUUGGACAAUGGGCGCAAGCCGGAUGCAGCCAUGCCGCGGGUAUGAGGAAGGCCUUCGGGGUGUAAAGUACUUUCAGCGGGGAGGCGGUACCCGCAGAAGAAGCACCGGCUAACUCCGUGCCAGCAGCCGCGGUAAUUC
rnacentral:rRNA from 1 species